GGUAAGGUGGUCGAGAGUAGGCGGCGGGCUGUAGACCCGAAGACGGGGUAAAGAGCCCCCCUUAUCA
rnacentral:tRNA from 1 species